rnacentral:rRNA from 1 species
UACGAAGGGGGCUAGCGUUGCUCGGAAUCACUGGGCGUAAAGCGCACGUAGGCGGAUCUUUUAAGUCAGGGGUGAAAUCCCAAGGCUCAACCUUGGAACUGCCUUUGAUACUGGGGAUCUCGAGUCCGGAAGAGGUGAGUGGAACUGCGAGUGUAGAGGUGAAAUUCGUAGAUAUUCGCAAAGAACACCAGUGCGAAGGCGGCUCACUGGUCCGGUACUGACGCUGAGGUGCGAAAGCGUGGGAGCAACAGGGAUUAAG